rnacentral:rRNA from 1 species
ACUCAAAGGAAUUGACGGGGGCCCGCACAAGCGGAGGAACAUGUGGUUUAAUUCGAUGAUACGCGAGGAACCUUACCCGGGCUCGAACGGCUCUAGAAUAUAUCAGAGAUGAUAUAGCCAGCAAUGGCUGGAGUCGAGGUGCUGCAUGGUUGUCGUCAGCUCGUGCCGUGAGGUGUCGGCUUAAGUGCCAUAACGAGCGCAACCCUUGUCGUUAGUUGCCAUCAGGUAAAGCUGGGGACUCUAGCGAGACUGCCACCGUAAGGUGUGAGGAAGGGGGGGAUGACGUCAAAUCAGCACGGCCCUUACGUCCGGGGCGACACACGUGUUACAAUGGCAGGUACAGAGGGCAGCUACCCAGUGAUGGGGUGCGAAUCUCGAAAACCUGUCUCAGUUCGGAUCGGAGUCUGCAACUCGACUCCGUGAAGUUGGAUUCGCUAGUAAUCGCGCAUCAGCCAUGGCGCGGUGAAUACGUUCCCGGGCCUUGUACACACCGCCCGU